rnacentral:rRNA from 1 species
GAUGAACGCUGGCGGCGUGCUUAACACAUGCAAGUCGAACGGAAAGGCCCAAGCUUGCUUGGGUACUCGAGUGGCGAACGGGUGAGUAACACGUGGGUGAUCUGCCCUGCACUUCGGGAUAAGCCUGGGAAACUGGGUCUAAUACCGGAUAGGACCACUUCUUGGAUGUUGUGGUGGAAAGUUUUCUCGGUGUGGGAUGAGCUCGCGGCCUAUCAGCUUGUUGGUGGCGUAAUGGCCUACCAAGGCGUCGACGGGUAGCCGGCCUGAGAGGGUGUACGGCCACAUUGGGACUGAGAUACGGCCCAGACUCCUACGGGAGGCAGCAGUGGGGAAUAUUGCACAAUGGGCGCAAGCCUGAUGCAGCGACGCCGCGUGGGGGAUGACGGCCUUCGGGUUGUAAACUCCUUUCGCUAGGGACGAAGCGUUUUUGUGACGGUACCUGGAGAAGAAGCACCGGCUAACUACGUG